rnacentral:rRNA from 1 species
AUUGAACGCUGGCGGCAGGCCUAACACAUGCAAGUCGGACGGUAGCACAGGGGAGCUUGCUCCUCGGGUGACGAGUGGCGGACGGGUGAGUAAUGUCUGGGGAUCUGCCCGAUAGAGGGGGAUAACCACUGGAAACGGUGGCUAAUACCGCAUAAUGUCGCAAGACCAAAGAGGGGGACCUUCGGGCCUCUCACUAUCGGAUGAACCCAGAUGGGAUUAGCUAGUAGGCGGGGUAACGGCCCACCUAGGCGACGAUCCCUAGCUGGUCUGAGAGGAUGACCAGCCACACUGGAACUGAGACACGGUCCAGACUCCUACGGGAGGCAGCAGUGGGGAAUAUUGCGCAAUGGACGAAAGUCUGACGCAGCAACGCCGCGUGAGUGAAGAAGGCCUUCGGGUUGUAAAGCUCUGUCUAGUGGGACGAAAACCUACGAGUUAAUAGCUCGUAGCUUGACGGUACUACUGAAGAAAGCACCAACUAACUCCGUGCCAGCAGCCGCCGUAA